UACGAAGGGGGCUAGCGUUGCUCGGAAUUACUGGGCGUAAAGGGCGCGUAGGCGGCACUGUUAGUCAGGCGUGAAAGUCCUGGGCUCAACCUGGGAACUGCGCUUGAUACGGCAGAGCUGGAGGAUGGAAGAGGGUCGCGGAAUUCCCAGUGUAGAGGUGAAAUUCGUAGAUAUUGGGAAGAACACCGGUUGCGAAGGCGGCGACCUGGUCCAUUACUGACGCUGAGGCGCGACAGCGUGGGGAGCAAACAGG
rnacentral:rRNA from 1 species